AACGAACGCUGGCGGCAGGCCUAACACAUGCAAGUCGAACGGUCCUUCGGGAUAGUGGCGCACGGGUGAGUAACGCGUGGGAAUAUACCCUUGACUGCGGAAUAAUAUUUGGAAACGAAUACUAAUACCGCAUAAUGACUCCGGUCCAAAGAUUUAUCGGUCAAGGAUUAGCCCGCGUUAGAUUAGAUAGUUGGUGAGGUAACGGCUCACCAAGUCGACGAUCUAUAGCUGGUCUGAGAGGAUGAUCAGCCACACUGGAACUGAGACACGGUCCAGACUCCUACGGGAGGCAGCAGUGAGGAAUAUUGGACAAUGGGGGCAACCCUGAUCCAGCCAUGCCGCGUGAGUGAAGAAGGCCUUAGGGUUGUAAAGCUCUUUCAAACGUGAAGAUAAUGACGGUAGCGUUAGAAGAAGCCCCGGCUAAAUUCGUGCCAGCCGCCGCCGUAACAC
rnacentral:rRNA from 1 species